rnacentral:rRNA from 1 species
UCCUGGCUCAGGAUGAACGCUAGCGGCAGGCUUAACACAUGCAAGUCGAGGGGCAUCGGGAGUAGCAAUACUGCCGGCGACCGGCGCAAGGGUGCGUAACGCGUGAGCAACAUGCCCGUAUCAGGGGGAUAAUCCAUGGAAACGUGGUCUAAUACCCCAUAGUAAUUAUGUAAGGCAUCUUAUAUAAUUUAAAGCUUUGGUGGAUACGGAUUGGCUCGCGUGACAUUAGCUGGAUGGUAAGGUAACGGCUUACCAUGGCUACGAUGUCUAGGGGUUCUGAGAGGAAGGUCCCCCACACUGGAACUGAGACACGGUCCAGACUCCUACGGGAGGCAGCAGUGAGGAAUAUUGGACAAUGGAUGGAAAUCUGAUCCAGCCAUGCCGCGUGCAAGGAAGACGGCCCUAUGGGUUGUAAACUGCUUUUGUAUGGGAGCAAUAAGGGCUACGUGUAGUCCGAUGAGAGUACCAUACGAAUAAGCAUCGGCUAACUCCGUGCCAGCAGCCGC